GUCCAAUCAGAAGGCUAACAUUAUAACUUUGGUUGCUAUCCGUCAUUUGGCAUCAACAUGAAAUUCCCAAAGCCCAAAACUCAAGAGCGAUGCCAGCAAUUAUUUACCUAUUUUCGGUGGUUUGUAUAAAACGCAGUGAAAUGUGGCCUAAUGACGUGUUUAUUGCCUGAGGGUCAAUUGAAGUGACUUCAAUAGGCCAACGUCAGGAUGAAGCAAUCUCAUGCAACCAAUUUCAUUUCUGAUGAAAUCACUGCGUUCAGAAGAAAAAAAUUAAUGUUCUCAAGAGAGGCCCUAAACGUUGUGCCCUUGAGCUUUUGAGUACACCUAGGUAUAUAUGUGUAAGAGCCUUUGAGUACACCUAGGUAUAUAUGUGUAAGAGCCUUUGAGUACACCUAGGUAUGAGCCUUUGAGUACACCUAGGUAUAUAUGUGUGUGAGCCUUUGAGUACACCUAGGUAUAUAUGUGUGUGAGCCUUUGAGUACACCUAGGUAUAUAUGUGUAAGAGCCUUUGAGUACACCUAGGUAUGUGUGUGAGCCUUUGAGUAUACCUAGGUAUAUAUGUGUGUGAAAGUUUUUCUGUGUGUGGGUGCAUGAUGCAUGUGUUUUGGUUAUGUAUAGCGACACACACAGUGCCUGAUAGUACUUCAUCACUCUCUUAUAGCCAGCACUGGCCUGAGAGAGCCGAUCAGCCAAACAAAAGGGAGGGAACGAGCUCUAAUUAGGAUUUUGCUGCGCUUGGCACGAAUAAGCACGAAUAAGCUGGCUAAUAAUUAACCUCUCAGAGAUUGUUUCUGUCCCGCACACUAAAUAACCGCUCAGAGAGCGAUUCAGCUCCCACUAUUAGUCGUAGUUCACCUAACAUGGGGAAAAAAAUACAUGACCGGGGAGAGUUUAGUUCCCAUACAGCCUCCAGAGCCAGCCCAGAGUCAGUGGCCAAUCAGGCGUGGGAUGAUGAAUCUGUAUUAAUGCCAGUGAGAUGGGGAAAGAGGGAUGCUGCUCAUUACAAUCUGUGUUUCCAUUAUGGUUAAUGCGCCCAGCAUAUGC
ensembl:lncRNA